AUUGAACGCUGGCGGCAUGCCUUACACAUGCAAGUCGAACGGCAGCACGGGUGCUUGCACCUGGUGGCGAGUGGCGAACGGGUGAGUAAUACAUCGGAACAUGUCCUGUAGUGGGGGAUAGCCCGGCGAAAGCCGGAUUAAUACCGCAUACGAUCUACGGAUGAAAGCGGGGGACCAUCGGGCCUCGCGCUAUAGGGUUGGCCGAUGGCUGAUUAGCUAGUUGGUGGGGUAAAGGCCUACCAAGGCGACGAUCAGUAGCUGGUCUGAGAGGACGACCAGCCACACUGGGACUGAGACACGGCCCAGACUCCUGCGGGAGGCAGCAGUGGGGAAUUUUGGACAAUGGGCGAAAGCCUGAUCCAGCAAUGCCGCGUGUGUGAAGAAGGCCUUCGGGUUGUAAAGCACUUUUGUCCGGAAAGAAAUCCUUGGCCCUAAUACGGUCGGGGGAUGACGGUACCGGAAGAAUAAGCACCGGCUAACUACGUG
rnacentral:rRNA from 1 species